rnacentral:tRNA from 1 species
GGGGAUAUAGCUCAGUUGGUAGAGUACUUGCCUUGCAUGCAUAAGGGCCUGCGUUCAAUGCCCAGCACCACCA